rnacentral:rRNA from 1 species
AGCGAACGCUGGCGGCAGGCCUAACACAUGCAAGUCGAACGAAGUCUUCGGACUUAGUGGCGGACGGGUGAGUAACACGUGGGAACGUGCCUUUAGGUUCGGAAUAACUCAGGGAAACUUGUGCUAAUACCGGAUGUGCCCUUCGGGGGAAAGAUUUAUCGCCUUUAGAGCGGCCCGCGUCUGAUUAGCUAGUUGGUGAGGUAAAGGCUCACCAAGGCGACGGUCAGUAGCUGGUCUGAGAGGAUGAUCAGCCACAUUGGGACUGAGACACGGCCCAAACUCCUACGGGAGGCAGCAGUGGGGAAUCUUGCGCAAUGGGCGAAAGCCUGACGCAGCCAUGCCGCGUGAAUGAUGAAGGUCUUAGGAUUGUAAAAUUCUUUCACCGGGGACGAUAAUGACGGUACCCGGAGAAGAAGCCCCGGCUAACUUCGUGCCAGCCGCCGCGGUAACAC